UACGUAGGGACCAAGCGUUGUUCGGAUUUACUGGGCGUAAAGGGCGCGUAGGCGGCAAUUCAAGUCAUCUGUGAAAUCUCCGGGCUUAACUCGGAACGGUCAGAUGAUACUGCUUUGCUAGAGUGCGGAAGGGGCAAUCGGAAUUCUUGGUGUAGCGGUGAAAUGCGUAGAUAUCAUUUGGAACGCCAAUGGUGAAAACAGGUAGCUGGGGAUGUGCUGACGCUGAGACACGAAAGCCAGGGGAGCGAACGGG
rnacentral:rRNA from 1 species